rnacentral:lncRNA from 1 species
AGUCAUUUGACAUCUCUGAACUUAGCUUCCUUAACUUCCCAAUGUGGCGAUGACUGAGUCUUUAUCAAUAUGUCUCAUUAAUGACCUUUUGCAAGAGACCUCUUAAAUUAAGUCAAAUAGGCCUCUAAUUUGCCUGCUCUGUUGAUGUCUCAAAACAUCAGACAUUCACCUGCCACCUGCUGGGAAGAGGUGCAGGUGGGAUGGACAUUAGGACACAUUGCCCUUAGCAACCAGGUAUAAGGAGUAAGCAUCAAGGGACAGUCAUUCUUUCCUCAGCUGGAGAUCAUUGAAUCCACCAUAAGCUGCUGAUCAUGAGACCACGUGGCUGGGAGGCCACCUGAUGCAGCAGCAGCCCCCGCACUGACUCUGGGGCUCUGCUGGGGGAAGCCUGCAGCUCCUGGAAUCCUCACAACCACUGGGAGCGAGGUGCCGUAAGGAGGCGGAGUCUCAGACAGAGUCUCAGAUGGUCAAGGACCCUGCUCCAGGGUGGAGGAGACCCUGGAAACACAUCCAGCUCAUGCCAGGGUCCAGUAUCCAUCCGGGACAGAAAGCUGCCUCCCUCCUUCCGGGACAGAAAGCUGCGUCCUCAGCAACAGGCAGAAAGUGACAGCCUCCUCCCAUCGCCGUCACUCCUGCUCUCGUCAGACACCCAUCCCUGGACCGCCAGACCCCCGGCUACCACCCCAUCCUGCUCUUUCCUGAUCUGCAGCCCCCCACACCCAUCACUUGCUGACCAAGGCCUUCCUCAGAAGUUUUGCCAAGAGGAUUCUAAGAAAGAUUAGAGAGGACAUUUUUAAUACACAUUUGAAAAACAUCAUUCAAAGCCUACAAUUUACUAUUUGUGACCAGUAAACAGUGUGAUCAUUAUCAUCAGAAAGUAUAAGAUACAGGGCAAGGGCUUUGCUUCCAACACUGAAAUGAAGGGCUAUGUUCACUCCACCAUUGAGAGUUCUUUGUUUUUUGUUUUUUUGGUUUUUUUCCCAAGGACAAAGAUUUGAGUUUUCAAGUAGCAAUGUCUGUUCUCAAAGGACAACCAAAGUGCUGCUCGUCACCCACUUCCGUGAUCUCAAGUCCUUGUGGCCAUCACUGACCUCAGCUAGAUCAGGCCAGAAGUGUCUAUAAUACAACCACGUGUAUUUCACCAUGCCUCCAAUUCCCAUUAGAAGCUUUUUCCUGAUAUACUCUGAAGACUGGCUAUUGUUAUCUUUGUGAUUUGCCUGACAGGUAAAGAAAUUUUAAAAUAAAGUUUUUUGUGUCCUCCAGGAACAAAAUCAUGCAUGGUGUAGGGUUCAGGAAGCACAUAACUCAUCCUGAAGUGAACUCUCUUUGAUAUAUUUACUGUGAUAUCUCAUGGUUGGCACAGGCAUUCACCUUCUAGAAUCACCAAGGAGAACCAAAACCAAGAGUG